AGAGUUUGAUCAUGGCUCAGGACGAACGCUGGCGGCGUGCUUAACACAUGCAAGUCGAACGAGACCCCGCUUUCGGGUGGGUGUUCUAGUGGCGAACGGGUGAGUAACACGUGGGCAACCUGCCCCCGGCUCUGGGAUAACUCCAAGAAAUUGGGGCUAAUACCGGAUAUGACCGCUGACCGCAUGGUCUGGUGGUGGAAAGUUUUUCGGCUGGGGAUGGGCCCGCGGCCUAUCAGCUUGUUGGUGGGGUAGUGGCCUACCAAGGCGACGACGGGUAGCCGGCCUGAGAGGGUGACCGGCCACACUGGGACUGAGACACGGCCCAGACUCCUACGGGAGGCAGCAGUGGGGAAUAUUGCGCAAUGGGCGGAAGCCUGACGCAGCGACGCCGCGUGGGGGAUGACGGCCUUCGGGUUGUAAACCUCUUUCAGCAGGGACGAAGCGGAAGUGACGGUACCUGCAGAAGAAGCACCGGCCAACUACGUGCCAGCAGCCGCGGUAAUACGUAGGGUGCAAGCGUUGUCCGGAAUUAUUGGGCGUAAAGAGCUCGUAGGCGGUUCGUCGCGUCGGCUGUGAAAACCCGGAGCUCAACUCCGGGCCUGCAGUCGAUACGGGCGGACUCGAGUUCGGCAGGGGAGACUGGAAUUCCUGGUGUAGCGGUGAAAUGCGCGAUAUCAGGAGGAACACCGGUGGCGAAGGCGGGUCUCUGGGCCGAUACUGACGCUGAGGAGCGAAAGCGUGGGGAGCGAACAGGAUUAGAUACCCUGGUAGUCC
rnacentral:rRNA from 1 species